rnacentral:rRNA from 1 species
UACAGAGGUGGCAAGCGUUGCUCGGUAUCACUGGGCUUAAAGGGCGCGUAGGCGGUGCGGUACGGUUUCGGUGAAAUCCCUCGGCCCAACCGAGGAACAGCCGGGGCUACGGCCGCACUUGACGGCAUCAGGGGACAGUGGAACUCCCGGUGGAGCGGUGAAAUGCGUAGAGAUCAUGAGGAAGACCAGUGGCGAAGGCGGGUCUCUGGACAGUUCCUGACACUGAGACACGAAGGCCAGGGGAGCAAACGGG